CACACCCCAACCAAGGUCAUGAGGUCUC
rnacentral:piRNA from 1 species